GCCACGGUGGAUUAGCGGUUAGCGUGUUUGCCUCAAACCUCCAGGGUUGGGGGUUCGAUUCCCGCCUCCGCCU